CUGACAUUUAUUGAAAAUAAGGAAAAGACUUUCUCCAGGUAGUGUAUUAGAGCAGAGCAGAAUGCAGGGGUUACUGUGUUGAACAAAAGGCACACAUCAGAGAGACAGUUGCAAACUCAGAAUACUGCGUUAUGGGCAAAACUAACUGGUCCACAAGAGAAAAUGAGAGACUCGAUUUGGCUGCCAGGAACACCUGGGCCUAGGCAAGAACACAAGAGGUUUCUGGGGGUGGGGAGGAAAUAGGUCUCGCUGAAGGUGACAGAUCCCUUGGGGGGCGGCCAGCUGUCUGGAUCACUGUCCAGGGACUGUGGCCAGCCCAGAUACCUCCGAGGUGAGUCCAGAUCACUAGGAGCAGCAGUCUGUCGGUGGGAUGCGAUGGAUGGCGAUGGCUGUGGCAGCGCAGGUCUGUGGGCAGAAUGAUGUAGUCGUCUGGCAGUCUGGUGGGGAGGAGAGGGCUUGGCAGCGGCGGCAGUGGGUGGUCUGUCCAGUGUGUAACAGGAGCCCAGCUUGCAGCUGGAGCGCAGGACAGCGUCCAAAUGUACAUGGGAGGGGCUGGCUGGCUGGAAGGAGAGGGCGGCGGCUCGCUCCAGAGUGAGGCCCAGGGGCGGCAGCAGGAGCCUGGAGCGCUAUUCCUGGAACAAAGGGGAUCACCCACUGCAGGGCGGGCCCUGUGAGGCGGGUGAUGAGGAACGUCACCUUCAGGGCGUCGCUGGAGAACGUGUUCUCGUCCACGAACAUGUAGGAGCCCGUCUGCACGAUGAACUCCGGGAGUCGGUCGGUAUCGCCGUCAAACGUCUCGGGAAAGGGAAUCGGGUUCCUCCAGCGACGCGUCGCAGGCCGGAUCGGCAAGGCCAGGAGGGCCUUUAUCAGCUGCACCCGACCGUCCAUCGCUGCUCCUCGCUUCGCUGGACGUCAAUGGGCUCCACCCGGCUCUGCAGAGGUCAGUACCGAGGCGUCGCCGGAAAUGCGUGUCCACGAAGGCCGGCCUAGGCUUGGGUGGGCGGGGCCACG
rnacentral:lncRNA from 1 species